GCCCAGAUAGCUCAGUUGGUAGAGCAGUAGACUGAAAAUCUACGUGUCCUUGGUUCAAUUCCGAGUCUGGGCACCA
rnacentral:tRNA from 2 species